rnacentral:lncRNA from 1 species
CUGCUGAUAGUCAUCCUCCUCUCCUUCAUGACAGGUUGUUUGAGCUCCUUCAAAGUGACAGGAUACUCUGGAGGAACUGUCAUCAUCUACUGUCAUUAUUACACAGAAGAAAGAAGUCAUGAGAAAUAUUUCUGCGUGGGACAGUAUAGCUGGAGAUGUAAGGAUAUAAUCAGAACUGGAUUGAAGAACACCUGGGUACACAGAGGUAGAUUCUCUCUGUAUGACAACACUGGAGGAAACUACUUCAAGGUGAUCAUCAGACAACUGACCAGACAAGAUGAAGGGACCUACUGGUGUGGAGUGGACAAACCUACUAUACCUGACAGUUAUACCAAGGUAGAGCUGGAUGUGAAGAAGGAUGACUGCUGUGAGAAGUCAGUCACAGAGACGGCCUAUCUGGGAGGAGAAGCUACCAUCAGAUGUAACUUUCCAGAGGACCAUGAGGACAGAACCAAGUAUUUCUGCAAGGAAGACGGUGAAUCUGACUGUGAAUACCAGAUAUCAGGGACAUAUUACUCAAAA